rnacentral:misc_RNA from 1 species
GAUGAAGAACGCAGCGAAAUGCGAUAAGUAAUGUGAAUUGCAGAAUUCAGUGAAUCAUCGAAUCUUUGAACGCACAUUGCGCCCCUUGGUAUUCCGAGGGGCAUGCCUGUUCGAGCGUCAUUAUCACCCCUCAAGCCUGGCUUGGUGUUGGGCGACGUCCUCUUUGGGGACGCGCCUCGAAACGCUCGGCGGCGUGGCACCGGCUUUAAGCGUAGCAGAAUCUUUCGCUUUGGAAGUCGGGGCCCCGUCUGCCGGAAGACCUGCUCGCAAGGUUGACCUCGGAUCAGGCAGGGAUACCCGCUGAACUUAAGCAUAUCAAUAAGCGGAGGA